rnacentral:rRNA from 1 species
CAGUAGCCACGGUAAUACGGAGGGUGCAAGCGUUAUCCGGAUUUAUUGGGUUUAAAGGGUCCGUAGGCGGAUCUGUAAGUCAGUGGUGAAAUCUUACAGCUUAACUGUGAAACUGCCAUUGAUACUGCAGGUCUUGAGUAAAUUUGAAGUGGCUGGAAUAAGUAGUGUAGCGGUGAAAUGCAUAGAUAUUACUUAGAACACCAAUUGCGAAGGCAGGUCACUAAGAUUUAACUGACGCUGAUGGACGAAAGCGUGGGGAGCGAACAGGAUUAGAUACCCCAGUAGUCCCUGUCUCUUAUAC